CGUAAAGUCCUUCUUCUUUACGCAGUUGAAAGACCGGCCGGACCUUCCAACGUCGCCGCAGACGCUUUCUGCGCUCCCGCCGCCUUUGCAAGAGCAGCCGCAGCAAAAGCUUCUUUCUCAACUGAUACAUCGCGGGAAGAGAACGCUGAUGCCGGCGAAGUAAGCGACUAAGCAAAAGCUCGACAGCAACGUCGUGUGUGGUCGCGCGCAGAUGUUAGCUGCAGUCGUGGGCAAGCAGACGCUAUCGCGCGUGAUGUUGAUCAUUGACGUAACUUUUCUUGUUAUAAAGAUGUGUAGAUAAAGACGGCGCGUGUUUAUCGACUUAAAAACAAUGUACUAGCUUUAACAUUGAUAAAUUAAAUGGAAAUGGCUGGCCAUAAUGAAAUUAAGGAUAAACUUUUCUCAAAGCCAAAGACGAACCUUUCCGCCAUCGCUGGUCUGUCAGCCCUGUGCUACGCGCAGCGAAGCGCGCACGUGUGCGCCUAUCAUGUGGCUGGCCGCCCUUCCCUUCAUCACCCACGUACGCGCACGCAGACGCGUACGCUUACGUGUACGCGUAUCGAGAUGCGUAUCCCAUGCUGCGUGUGGUUGGGCCUUAAUGGAUUGCAAGGAGAGACGUGGACUGGUUGCGCGCCUGCUUUUCGAAGACUCGGCCAAUGCGACGGUGAUGCCGCAGACCAUGUCGACAAAUACACCGACUCCAGUGGCGUGGUCGAGAAAAUAAACAUAAGCAGGUGAUUUGUUUACGGACCAACCGCAAGUGCUCUUUAUGAUUUUUGCCACCCAGAGGGCAGGAGUGAUGCUGUUGCGUGCAACGACCCGGAAACGACACUGCGAAUGGAGUGCAAUGAUAGGGGAGCCAUGCGAUGGUGGCUACAAUGGCCCCAAAUUUUAGCACAAUACUCCGGCAAAUUAAAAACGAGAAUAUUGUUGCCGAUAGCCGAGAUGGUAGCUAUAAGGAUCACCAUGGUAUCUGCCAGAUCUACAAGGUCGCAAAAGCCAGUGAUAUCACAAGCAGCAUGAAAGAAAGACUAUGCAUCACCGGCGCCGCCGCGGAUGCUCGGAGGUGACUCCCAUCUGCUGAUACAGAAAUAAACUCUGCGGCACAAGCGGCUUGCGCCUCUUGAGUGUUUCUCUACGGACACGACAGACCCAUUGGGAGGACACGACAGAACCCAUCACGCCCAUCUCCAGAUUACUGUCGACCGUCAUGCGUUUAAUAUUGAAUCAAUGUAGCGACAUAACCUAUCGCCAACAUCGAAACAAGUUAUUUAUACGGCGGAUACUGCAGCGGGACUGGAAUAUCGAGCUUCCUUAAGAGGAAGCUUUAGCUUGGGUGCUCCUUUCUAAAUACACGUAAAAGGAAACGUAGUUUUUCUCGGCAACCACAACACCAAAUUAAAACUAGCGACUGUGUUAUCCAAAUUCUCGAUUUAGAUUAAAAUCUUUUAUUAAA